GACGAACGCUGGCGGCGUGCUUAACACAUGCAAGUCGAACGGAAAGGCCCUGCUUUUGUGGGGUGCUCGAGUGGCGAACGGGUGAGUAACACGUGAGUAACCUGCCCUUGACUUUGGGAUAACUUCAGGAAACUGGGGCUAAUACCGGAUAGGAGCUCCUGCUGCAUGGUGGGGGUUGGAAAGUUUCGGCGGUUGGGGAUGGACUCGCGGCUUAUCAGCUUGUUGGUGGGGUAGUGGCUUACCAAGGCUUUGACGGGUAGCCGGCCUGAGAGGGUGACCGGCCACAUUGGGACUGAGAUACGGCCCAGACUCCUACGGGAGGCAGCAGUGGGGAAUAUUGCACAAUGGGCGGAAGCCUGAUGCAGCAAUGCCGCGUGCGGGAUGACGGCCUUCGGGUUGUAAACCGCUUUCGCCUGUGACGAAGCGUGAGUGACGGUAAUGGGUAAAGAAGCACCGGCUAACUACGUG
rnacentral:rRNA from 1 species